GCAAAUGCGGCCACUCACCAGCGCUGGCUCUGCAUAGCUGGAUGACCAGCGCUGCAAACCGCACAUUUCUCGAGGCUUGUGUGAAAAGGGCUGUGAUCGGGACAUGCUGCAGUGCAGAGCGAUGAUAAAGGAGCUGAAGCAGGCAUACCAUAAGGCAAGGGAGGCAAACCGUCGCUUCGGUACUUCACUUAAGAUCUGCUGAUUCUAUAAGGAGCUGGACGCUAUUCUCGGUGGUGACUCCAUCUUCACCGCCAAGAGCCCCAUGGAUACUUCGGUGGGCCUGCAGGAGGUGGAAAGAUGAACUAACCCAGAGAACAAAGUCACUGAUGAAGAGGUGGAGUUAGAUGAGGAUGUGGAGCUCCCGGCGAGGUCUGCUGGUGGGGCAGGCAGCCAGGAACUGUUCACCACUCCAGAGGUGUCUGGUCAGUCUCAGCAGGUGCUCGCCAGUGAGCAAGAAGCAGAAGACACCUGAUGUGGCCUUCAGGAACAUCCCCCCCACCCCCGACACACACCGGCCGAGCAUCUCCGCUGGAUAAGAAAGUGCCCAAGCCAGAGCAAAGAAACCAUGUUCCGGGAGGUACUGCACUCCUCCAAUGCAGAGAAAGGUGAACACAAGGAGUGGUGAGAAGCCAAAAGGCAGGACAGAAAAGAAAAUGAGGAGUUUGUUAAGGAUGCUAGUAAGUGGAUGAAUAAAGUCAUGGAGAAGCAAACACAGAUGCUGAAGUCCUUAAUAAUGCUGCAGAGUGAGCAGAUCUGUGCCCGCUCUCCCCUGCAGCACAUUCAGAAUUCUUUUCCAUGCCCCCUCCCCCAACUCUUCCCACACAGUCCUUUCCAAUUGCUGAGGCUUCUUGGUUUUGCCUUCGCUCCACCCCCUCAGACAACUUUCAGAGAUGUGUGUAGGUCCAACUUUUAUUAUGAAACUCCGCCCUUCCCUGGUACCUCCUUUGCCACAAAGCAUCUUUGUGUGUGUUGUUUCUUGUGCAAUAAAAGCAAAGUUUUUGAAUGGUAACUCAUCUUUAUUUGUUUUCUACAAAUUGAGAUAGCAGGCACUUCCAAU